rnacentral:rRNA from 1 species
UACCAGCACCCCGAGUGGUCUGGACGAUUAUUGGGCCUAAAGCGUCCGUAGCCGGUCAUGCAAGUCCUCCGUUAAAUCCACCUGCUUAACAGAUGGGCUGCGGAGGAUACUACAAGGCUAGGAGGCGGAAGAGGCAAGCGGUACUCAGUGGGUAGGGGUAAAAUCCUCUGAUCCAUUGAAGACCACCAGUGGCGAAGGCGGCUUGCCAAUACGCGCUCGACGGUGAGGGAUGAAAGCUGGGGGAGCAAACCGG